rnacentral:tRNA from 2 species
GCCCGCGUGGCGGAAUUGGUAUACGCAGCAGGUUGAGGGCCUGUGCCCGAAAGGGCGUGGGGGUUCGAGUCCCUCCGCGGGCACCA